rnacentral:lncRNA from 1 species
GUCCAUUUCUUUUAAUAUUAAAAACAUUAAUUAUUAUUAGUAGUAUUAUAUUAAUAUGAAGUCUCACUUUGUUGAUUCACCCAGUCCCUUUCAUGAGAGAUGUGGAGGUGGGUCUCGGCUGUUAGGAAACGUAGAUUCUAAUCCAUUCACCAGCCCAGUGAUUCGAGAACUUCAGCUCUCUGGGUCUCCCUGUACUCCUUUGGAAAACGAGAGACGAAGUUGAUUGUUGCAGUGACUGAGGGAUUUGGGUCCUGCAGUCUGGCUGUCUGGGUUGGAACUGAGCUUCGCCAUAGGCACCCUUGGGUAAAUUUACUUAAUCCCUCAGGCUUUCAUCUUCCUGUUUUGUAAAAUGUAAAUAACAAUAACGCUCACCUCGAAGGGUUGUUGUGAAGAUUACAUGAACGAUUUCAUGUAUUCAUUCCGUCGACAUUGAACACCUAGUCUCCAGCUCUGCGAGGGGAAUGGGGUGGAGUGGCACAGAAAAUACGGGGGCCAGGCUGUUUAGCGCCUAAAGGGAGAGUCCAGAUCACCCAUGGUGAACACGAAAUAAGAUGCAGUAUUUCAAAUAGCUAGAACUGAGACGAAAAUACAACGCAGCAAUUUGAUGGAGAGCAACUUCGAGAAAGACCCGGCCCAUGCCUCAGCGAGGCCGCAGUGACUCCUCCUGGCCAGCAGAGGGCGCCAGCGGACACUUGGCUACCGGCCGCCCGGGGCGGGCCUCCUCUUGCCGUCCCCUUCCUCG